ensembl:lncRNA
AUGGGAAUCAGCGGUGCCUUGACAAAGAAAAUAGAUUCUUGCAAAGGUGUAAGACAAGGAUGUUUAUUGGCCCCUUUACUUUUCAACCUUUAUAUCAAUGACCUGCCAGAGCACCUCAGCAGCCCUGAGGUCCACAUGCCUAAAAUAGGUAACAGACACAUAAAUACCCUUCUAUACGCGGAUGAUAUGGUUUUGAUGUCUAGUACUCAAAUAGGAUUACGAAGACUAUUGAUUAAACUUAACACGUACGCCCACAAAAACGAGCUGACAAUAAACAAAUCCAAGUCAAAAAUCAUGGUUUUUGGAAAGCACCCAUCUAGACACAAAUGGGUCCUAGAUGCAGAGUGCAUAGAACAGGUGAGCUCUUUUACAUACCUAGGCUUAGUAUACUCAGAAACUGGCUCUUGGCUGGCACACUCCCAAUCUUGCGCGAUCAAAACUAGGGCACGCUCCAAUACACUGGCAAGAUUGCUAACCCACAGAUAUCCUGGCUCUUUAACUCCAAUAAUCAAAGUUUAUAAAGCAAAAAUCCUCCCCAUAAUAUUAUAUGGAGCAGAAAUCUGGGGCCUAACCAGAUUACCAAUAUUGGAACAAACACAAUCAAAAUUUUUAAGACAGAUCCUUGGCGUUGACACUAAGACCACCGCUGCUGCAGUCAGAGCAGAGUUAGAAAUAUAUUCUAUUGAAGGACUUGCCAAAAUCAGGGCCUUUAAUUACUGGGCUAAAAUAAAAAAUCUCGAAAAUAACAGACUCCCAAAAUUGUGCUUCUUAGAACAAUCUAAUGGCCAAAACCAGGAUUCAUGGACAGAACAACUAACUAGGUAUCUUCACAUCUGUGGAUUACAAAUUACUUCCUUAGGCCAGAAUAGGGAGGCUGAAAGAAGGACAGUAACCCAAAGGAUCCUAGAUAUUGAAGCCCAGAAAGACAUAGCCACCCUGUCAAACACAGGAUCUCUGAAGUGGUUAGGACGUUUUAAACAUAAUUUCCAGCGGGCGUUAUACCUAAAAGCAGAUAUGCCACGACAUCUAAGAAUCGCGUUCACCAGGGCAAGAUUCGAACAAAGGGAGUCCAUGGAGAGACAUGGCAGAUUCAACCACAUCCCAUAUGGAGAAAGAUUAUGUAUUUGUGGCGCCCCUGAAGUCGAAAAUUUGAACCACGCUUUGCAUAAUUGUAACUUAUACGAAAAAGAAAGGAAACAAUACUUAUGGCCUUUUAUUUGUAAUAAAACAAGCUGGGACAUAGCAGCCAAAACUACAUUUUUAUUGGCCGGUUAUAACCCCAUUGUGACAACAAAAGUGGCCCUGUAUUUGCUUAAAACUGCUAAAAGGAGAUCGGAGUACAUAGAUCAGAUUGGGGUGCAGUGUAGGGGUGAUGAGGAUAGUUGA